GAAAAUCUACGGAACACAGUAUCACCACCGUGUGUGAGGCGGGAGCCACAAUGAAAGCUUUACAAAAAUGGGUGAUCAAAAGAUACACAGUAUCCCCACCGUGUGUGAGGCGGGAGCCCCAAUAAAAGCUUUACAGAAAAUGGGUGACCAAAAGAUCGUACUUCCUCACUUUUUUUUUCUGUGGGUGAGGGAUCUAUUUAUGUAUAAGCCAUUGAUAUGCAUAUUGUUUCUUUAUUGUUGUAAG
rnacentral:misc_RNA from 1 species